AGAACAGUCUCAAUAAGAAUUAAGUCACACAACGUUUUCCACAAAUGCACACGUUCAUUCGGAAAUCCACAUUCUGUGUUUCACAAAUAUAAUUCGGAGGAACACAAAUGCACACGCUCAUUCGGAAAUUCACACUCUUUGACUCAUAAAUAUAAUGUGAAAAAAUAAGUCACGCAACAUUUUCCACAAAUGCACAUGCUAAUUCUGAAGUUCACACUCUGUGGUUCACAAAUAUAAUUUGUAAGAACACUUGUAAUAUAAACUCAGAUCGUACGAAUUGCUGAACGUGCAUUUACGAACAGCUUCUCAUUUGUGAACCUUUCCGCGUUUGUGAGUGAAAUCUGUGUGGUGCAUUCACGAACAGCUUCUCAUUUGUGAACCUUCCUGCAUUCGUGAGAGAAAUCGGUGUGCUGAAUUUUGAGACUCUCCUAACGUCGCAGGUCAACAAACGUCACCAUUGGCUAAUGAACCUGUCAAUCAAAUAUAUGCUUCUGCCAGGGCUGUUCGCUUUCAGCCAAUCAUAUGGGUCCUUAUGUCACAGAACAGAUCUGCUGUGCGCAUGCGCAUUGCAGUUCACACGGCAGAGCAGGAUGGACCGGUCACGAUCUAUCAUGUACCUGAAGGUAGCUGACAACAACCGGGCAGACACCCACCUUGCCUUCUUCAGUGAAGCUGUGAAUGAGCAUGGCUUUCCUCUGAGAUCAUGGCGGAGAAAAUGUAGGUGUUGCAGAAUUAAUGUUCUCAGUUCGUGGAACUGACACCAACAGCUUCAUUGCAGGAAAAAGUGUACACAAUCAACGGCCAGCCUGGAUGUCUUUAGAGAUGCGUGGGACAACCAUCCAAUCAGGACAGAGGAAAACAUGACACCAAAUCAGCUGUGGCAUCUGGGCCAGGCUCUGAAUCCUGUUUCUGAUCCAGGGGCAAAUGGUAUACCGACACCAGAGAUUGAAUGGGAGGAGAACGGAUACAUGACUUAACCUCAUCCUGGGAUCAGUGUCCCUGUACUGGACAGUCCUCUUUCAGAUCAUGAAAUGUUGGAACUGCAGGACAGCAUUAAUCCGUUGCAACAUUCAGACUCUUUUGGGAGUGGACACAUCUUCACACUGUCCAGUAUGUUGAGAACUUACUUGAGGCUAGAUGAUUACAUGUGUGAAGAAGGAAGGAGAGAGAAGGUAGGGAGUUAGGAAGAAAGAAAAAUAAUUAAUGAGACAGGAAGGAAGAAAGUUAAAAGUGAAGGAGUGGUCCAUUUUAAGGUUAAUAUUCUGUAUAUUGUUAUUCAAGGGAUUUGCCGUCGUAAAUAUGAAAUGCUAAAGGAUAGACCCCAAAAUAGAUGUCUAAAUUCAUUUAUAGUUGUGUAUUUCCUUAAAGUCUUUGUCAGCCUGAUUUAUUUUAGACCAGGAAUGUAUUUGAAAAGGCUGCUGUUCACUUCAUCUAUGCUACAAUUCUUCAAAAUGUAAAUGUGCUAUCAUUGCUAGUGUUGGUUUAGUAACAUGCAUCUUCCUGUGUAUCCAGCUCUAAUAAAAACAUUUAAAGGUGAAGCACCUACUUAUCAGGAGAUCCAUUUAUUUUUACAUGUUAUUGUUUGAAUUUUGUCUCGUUUCAUAACUUUUGCUCAACAUUUAAGGGGAACUGUGUUACCCUGCGAUCAUCUUCAUUACACUUGAAAACUUGUACUAUACCUCCGUCCGUCUACUUAUUAAAUGGAAUAACAUGACAAGA